UUUUAAAUUCUGCCUAUAGAUUUCCUUACAUUCGGCAAAAUCGAUAUGGCGUCUCAUAAUCGGGGACUUUCCUCUACCACUACUCAAGUGCAAUUGUAUCGCCUCUCACUGACAGAUCUAUAAAUGCAAUUGUCCAAUCAAAAUCACUAAUUGUCAUCGUCUGAGAAAGUCGGAUGAGUGUUUCAGGUGGCAACCAACGAGAGAACGGAAAUCCGCAUAUCGCGCGUGACGCACGCAAAAUAAAAUAAUAAACACAAAAAAUCCAACCAAUGAUCGAUGAUCGAUGAUGAAUUAUGUAACGCGAUAUAUAUCCGUCGACAGUAAUGAUAACGUUGUCGAUGACGGAAAUGAUGACGUUGGCGAUGAUGACGGUCGCUGUUAGCACAGAAGGAAACCGGCAGAGACCGCGACGUCGAAAGCCGCAAGAGGACAUAACGAACCAAAAUGAUUAAUCGAGAUAGACACGGGCCGAAUGAGGUUUUGCCGCUCGCUGACGCGUCGCCGCCGUUCAUCGUCGUCGAAGCUUCUCUUGCGCUGCUCUGCUGCCCGCCUCUGGCGAAACCUGUUUGCGUUCUUAUAUUUUCAUGUACACAUACCAUGCGAGGCGAAGCGUCAUGACAAACGUCAAUUACUUUCACGCACACACUCGCACACACGCAAAAAACGCACGCGCGCAAACACUCCUGCCAACAAGCGGAUUGUCACGUCGGCUUACAAAUCGAUCAUGAACCAUCGGCACGUUAUAUUCGUUGUUUUUGGGAGCUCGAGGAACGAUAUGGGGAGCAGGGUGCUCUAUUAACGUUAAUUUUGACAAAUUUUAAUCAUAUUUUAAUUUCUAAUUCUAAUUGUUAUAUAAUUUCGGAAAAAGAUAAUAUUUCAGUACUAAUGGACUCCGUUUUGUUUUGCCACUCUGUUUCGGAUUAAAUAAUCAAUAAUAAGUUUAUAUUUGUUUGAAGUAUGUUCAAUUUAUCCUAUGUCAGAAUAAAUUUAUAAUAUUAUUUCUAUUAAACUAAAUAUAUCAUAAUUAUUUCAUGUGUUUCAACACGUGUCAUUUUCCUCAAAUGCAUUGACAUUAAUUUAUUUUCUAUACAUAAUUAAUAUAAGUAAAUAUGUUCGUAAAUAUAAUAUAAUAUUAAUGCUAUAAUAGUCUGUAAGAUCUGUAUUGUAAGAUCAAUAUAGCGCGAAUUUUGUUUAUUAAUAAGUUACUACUAAUUUAUUAUUAGUGCAGAUCGAUUGCUGUUAAUCUGACACGUGAUGCUAUCGAAUAAUCUGUGAACAAGGGAAAAUAGGGAAGAAUAUAAUGAUAGAUGGCUCA